CGUGAGUGAAGAAGGCCUUUGGGUCGUAAAGCUCUGUCGACAGGGAAGAAGUUAUAGAUAUCUAAUAGGUGUUUAUAUUGACGGUACCUGUAGAGGAAGCACCGGCUAACUCCGUGCCAGCAGCCGCGGUAAUACGGGGGGUGCAAGCGUUAUUCGGAAUUAUUGGGCGUAAAGGGCGCGUAGGCGGCCUUGUCGGUCAGAUGUGAAAGCCCAGGGCUCAACCCUGGACGUGCAUUUGAAACAGCAAGGCUUGAGUACGGGAGAGGAAAGCGGAAUUCCUGGUGUAGGGGUGAAAUUCGUAGAUAUCAGGAGGAACACCGAUGGCGAAGGCAGCUUUCUGGACCGAUACUGACGCUGAGGCGCGAAGGCGUGGGUAGCGAACGGGAUUAGAUACCCCGGUAGUCCACGCAGUAAACGAUGUACACUAGGUGUGUCGGAUAUUAAAAUCUGAUGUGCCGGAGCUAACGUGUUAA
rnacentral:rRNA from 1 species